CGCGAGGAUGACCGUUAUUUUGGCGGUUUUAUUACUGACCGGUGACAAAGAUUAAUAAUGACGUUAAACCCUGCUUAUAUUAACUAGGUUUUGUUUUUCACUUACACUAUAUCUCAGUUUACAGGUAAGAGUGAUAAUAUAAGCACACUUCCACUCUGUAUAGCCUAUUUGUCGCCACGUGGAAGUUAAGUCAAUUACUGAUUCCUGAAGUAAUUAACGCCAAACAUUUGUAAAGAAUUACUGUUUGUUAAGAUUUAUUUAAUUUAUGGCUACAAAACAUCAAUUGCAGUAGGCAAUAUACUGUGACGGACAACGAACUUUCUGGAAGAACAAUCUAGACGAGCUGAUGUCAAUGACAGUUCACGGUGCGCUGACUCUGCUAGCACUCGGGAGAAAGACAAUUACAAUGGUAAGUGGGAAAAUUUCUGAUUAUUUCAGUUACUUUAACCUUAAACCUUGUCAUUUUUUAGUUAGCUUAACGUUACGUGAAUAUUUCAAGAAGCUAAAAGAAGAAAGGUGGUUUAUCGCGUUGUCCAGGCCUGUGCAAUUCUCCGCCGGGAGGUUUGUAAUUUUUAACAUGAAUCCCUAAAGUAUCUUGAUAAAAAACUGCUGUGAACUGAUCAAUAAUGCUGGCAACAGUUCAUGUUAUAUCCAAAUAUUUUUUUUGCCCUGUAAUUUGUAUUGGACCUAUACCUGUAUAGGAAAAGAUGAAACAAAGUUUCGGUCAAAUCACCUUCAUACAGCCGUUAUAAACAUGAAUUCAAACCAAGAAGAACAACGAGAGACGUUGAUGGAGAUGUUUCCGUUUUUUUCUGUGGAUAACUAUGUUCCUCUAUCAGAGACCACUUUUAAAGUUUUACCACCACCUUAUCCGCAU